GGCAGCUGAGACUCUGCUCUCCUCGUUUGGAUGAAUUCUGAUAUAAUAACUGUUUGUUUAUUUAUCGGUGCAGCAGCAGAACAUUUUCCACAGACAGUUUUCCUGCCCGUUGGCUUGUUUUAACCAGUUUUCUACCUUCGGCUGAUUCUACCAGCAGACACUGAAAGGACUCUGAUAGUUCGGUCCCUCUCUGUCUCCCCACACAUCCACCAACCACUGGAACACAUCUCCAAAGUUCUGCCUGGCCAGCUCAGCUUCCCUUCAGAAGAAGUUCCACCAGAUGAAGGAGCCUUUUGAGAGGCAGCUGGCAUCGUGAUUGGACUGUACUUUGGUCUGUUCCAAUCCAGCUUCAGCUCCAGAGACGGCAGGCGGGACGAGUCAACGGAGGCCGGGUGGACGAAGGCAUGCAGCUGAGUACAAUCCAGAAAACAACAGAGGAGGAGUGCAGUGGCCCACAGCUAGAACAACCAGAGUAUGUCUCUUAGAAAACAUCAUAGUAUAGCCUUUGGUAUGAAAAAACGCCAUCAUAUACAUCGUAUAUUGUACAAAUAACAAGUCAAAGGAAAGAGACAUACAUUGUAGAAUUGUAGUAAUUGUGGGCUGACUGAUUUACUGAUUAUCAGUAUUUUAUUUUUUAAUCAUUUACGGUAAUAAAUACAUUUAAAAAUGG